rnacentral:tRNA from 1 species
GGGGAUGUAGCUCAGUGGUAGAGCGCGCGCUUCGCAUGCGCGAGGCCCCGGGUUCAAUCCCCGGCAUCUCCA